AGUCUUUUCGUCCAGCGGCUAGGAUGCUUGCCUGAUUAGCGAGAGACCUGUGUUCGAGUCACAGAGAGACUACCA
rnacentral:tRNA from 1 species